rfam:Sporisorium reilianum SRZ2 chromosome 6 complete DNA sequence
GCUGCUUUGGCACAGUGGUUAGCGCAACGCCUUUACAAUUCCAAACGCCUCUACAGUGUUCCGGCGUAGGUCACAGGUUCGAACCCUGUAAGCAGCA